rnacentral:rRNA from 1 species
AGAAUGAACGCUGGCGGCGUGGUUAAGACAUGCAAGUCGAACGGUUUUGUUGUGUAGCAAUACAUAACAAAAGCAGUGGCGAACGGGUGCGUAACACGUGAACAAUCUACCUUCAAAUGGGGAAUAGCUCGCCGAAAGGCGAAUUAAUACCGCAUGUGGUUGCUUCUCGCAUGAGAGGCAUACCAAAGUCAGGGACCGCAAGGCCUGACGUUAGAAGAGGAGUUCGCGGCCUAUCAGCUAGUUGGCGAGGUAACGGCCCACCAAGGCGACG